AAAAUUUCUCAGUAUUCCGACAAUUGUUUGUUCACUUAAAAUGAAAGCACUCAUCGUUAACUGUUUUAUAUUUUGCGCAAUAUUGUGUUUCCAAGGAAUAUCGGAUGGGGGUAAUACUAUAGAAUGUUACUAUUGCAUAAAUGACUGCGAACCUCCACUAAAUACACUUAACUGUGAAGCAUUAGAUAACAACGUCAGUUGCUAUUCAUCUAUAUCUACCAACGAAGAUGGUACCACUGAACACUUGAAAGGUUGCUCAAUUGACGAAGAUACAGAUUUUCAAGACUUUUGCAAUACUACGAACGUCGAAGGUGGUUCAUGUUACACUUGCCAAGAGGAUUUAUGUAAUGCAGCUAAUUAAAAGUUGAUUAUUUACAAUAAAGAUUGUUUUUGCGUUCUUUUCUUGAUAUCUCCUUGUCGUCACACCUGUCAAGUCAGUUAACACUUAUCUAGAUCAAAAAACAACAGAUGGGAGUAUAUAAAACACUAUUGUUUGAGCAAAAUUCCAUUCAAUAUGAAGUUCAUUUUGGAAAGUUUAACGCUGCUGCUUUUGUUUACAGUCUACCAUCAAGUUGAUGGUGCUGUAUCUGAGUGCUAUAAAUGUACUGUAAGUUGCGAGUUUCCAACCAUAGAUGAAUGCCCCACUUUUGUUGGUGAAUUUAGGUGCUAUUCAGCAGCAAUUCUUCAACCACCGGAUGGACGACUAGAGUACUCCAAAGGUUGCGUUCUUGCUGAUGACACAAACAUGAUAACGGAAUGUAAUAUAAUUAAUAAUACAGAGGGUGAUUCGUGCUAUUUCUGCGAUACAAAUCUUUGUAAUGACCACGAUUAGUGGGUUCCAUUAUUUUUAAUAUUAAUAUUGCCAAAUAAACAUUUUUUGCAUCA